GGAAUUUUGGACAAUGGGCGCAAGCCUGAUCCAGCAAUGCCGCGUGAGUGAAGAAGGCCUUCGGGUUGUAAAGCUCUUUUGUCAGGGAAGAAACGGCUGAGGAUAAUACCCUUGGCUAAUGACGGUACCUGAAGAAUAAGCACCGGCUAACUCCGUGCCAGCCGCCGCGGUAAUACGGAGGGUGCAAGCGUUAAUCGGAAUUACUGGGCGUAAAGCGUGCGCAGGCGGUUUUGUAAGUUUGUCGUGAAAGCCCCGGGCUCAACCUGGGAAUUGCGAUGAAGACUGCAAGGCUUGAAUCUGGCAGAGGGGGGUAGAAUUCCACGUGUAGCAGUGAAAUGCGUAGAGAUGUGGAGGAACACCGAUGGCGAAGGCAGCCCCCUGGGUCCAGAUUGACGCUCAUGCACGAAAGCGUGGGGAGCAAAC
rnacentral:rRNA from 1 species